GGCCUGUUGAUUAUAAUUUAAGGUCUGACCUGCCCACUGAGGAGUUUAAAGGCCGCGGUAUUUUGACCGUGCAAAGGUAGCAUAAUCAUUAGUUUUUUAAAUGAAAGCUUGAAUGAAGGGUUUGAUGAAGAAAAUUCUGUCUCUGUAUAAUUUUAUUAGAAUUUUAUUUUUAAGUAAAAAAGCUUAAAUUAGGAUAGAAGACGAGAAGACCCUAUAGAGUUUAAUAUUUGAGUGAGAUAGUUAAAGUUGAAAGGAUAAAAAAUUUUGAUUUUACUUAUGUAUUUUGUUGGGGUGACAAAAAAAAUGGAUAAACUUUUUUUUUAUUUGAACACUGAUGUGUGGAUAGUUGAUCCUAGAAUUUAGAUUAGAAGAUUUAAUUACCUUAGGGAUAACAGCGUAAUUUUUUUUAGAGUUCUUAUCGAAAAAAAAGAUUGCGACCUCGAUGUUGGAUUAAAAUUAAUUAUUGGCGUAGAAGCUAGUAUAUUAGGUCUGUUCGACCUUUAAAAUUUUACAUGAUCUGAGUUUARACCGGCGUGAG
rnacentral:rRNA from 1 species